CUCUUAGCUCAGGGGUAGAGCGCGUCACUAGUAAUGACGAGGCCACUAGUUCGAAUCUAGUAAUCUUGA
rnacentral:tRNA from 1 species